rnacentral:lncRNA from 1 species
UGGGCAGUGGCCCUGUCUGGCUUUAAUCCCUUGGUCUGUUUAUUAUUAAUCUCAGAGAAAGCUCUAUAAUUAAGGGAUGUCUUUGUUUUGCAGCCAAAUAGUGAAGACUCUGGUUUUCCCUAUGAGAAGAUGCAGCUGGUUGGGAACUGGGGUUCAUUUCAUUUCCAUACCUGGAUAAUCCGUUAUGGACGAGUGCAGGUACUUCAGACAUAUUCUUAACAUUUGGGAACACACCUGUGUGUUUUAACUCCCAUUUUUCUCUGGGUUUUCUUUUGUAUAUCUGGUCCUAAUUGAAACCUAGGGUAAAGUUGUUGUACGAACAUCAUGUUGGCUCUAUAUCACUGCCAGUGGUGAUAGUCCAAACUGAAAUCGCCUGCCAAAUGAUAUAGAAAUCUACAGCUAAAAUAUACAGAGAGGUGUGCAGACUGAAGCCGUUUUUCUUUAUAGCAAAAUGAAGAGGACAUGCAUCACCUGUGCAUUGUGAGGGGAGUGGAGAAACAGCUGUGGUGGAGCAGAGUCAUUCAGAAAAAAAUCCUGGACCCAUGGGUGAGAGAUUCUCAACUGAUCUUUCAUCUCAAAUGCACCUGAUUUGUGUAAAAUGAUGCACAAAAUAUAGGGCUACUUAUAUUUCCUGAAUUAAAUGUAAUUUUUCCCUGUCUCUUUGAAAGGGUUUUGUCCAGGUGUUCCUCACCAACAUGGAGGUGACUGGUAUUAAGUUCCUUGGUAGAAGGAUCCAUGGACUCAGGUCUUGCCUCGUCAAGACGAGGUCAGAGUUCACCUAUUAUGAGGACGCCCAGCAGGUGGAUAUCUCCACCACAGUGGAGGGGUUCCAGGAGAGGGGGGAUGACAUGAUGGCGUAUCAGUUCUCUACCUCUGACAUUAUCACCAUCCCUCAUGAGCCGUCCUCUGGCUCCUCUCACCAGUUCCCCCAGGAUUCUCCACCUCCCCCUCCGCCUCCCCCGUUCCCUUCCGAUUCCCCUCCACCUUACCACUUCACCCAGGACCAGGCCCAGGACCAGACCCCUGACAGCACUCCUCAGGAGUUUGUGGAGGAGCAACAUAAUGCUGCAGAUGUGCCCCAGCUGUGGAGUUACUUUGGAAACCAAGGGACAACCAACUUCUCUCUGAGGCUGGCCGGUAUCCGACGUGCUAUGGAGGUGAGAAAGUGUGAAUUUACCACCAUU